UACAGAGGUCUCAAGCGUUGUUCGGAUUCAUUGGGCGUAAAGGGUGCGUAGGUGGCGGGGUAAGUCAGGUGUGAAAUUUCGGAGCUUAACUCCGAAACUGCAUUUGAUACUGCCUUGCUUGAGGACUGGAGAGGAGACUGGAAUUCACGGUGUAGCAGUGAAAUGCGUAGAUAUCGUGAGGAAGACCAGUGGCGAAGGCGGGUCUCUGGACAGUUCCUGACACUGAGGCACGAAAGCUAGGGGAGCAAACAGG
rnacentral:rRNA from 1 species